GAUAUCUUACAGUUCGAUUGAACGAGAAAAGGUACUCAUUGCAAAGUUAUACUGUUAGGGCAUAACUGAGUAGUCUAAUGUUGUUCCGGUUUUGGUUCUUGUCAAGGUUGACAUCAAUUCGUUCCAAAUUUACACUCUCAGGGCAUAAUAGAACAAUAUAAUUGGCUUUUACUCUUUGUUCGAUUGAAUGAGAAAAAGUCCUCGUUGCAAAGUUAUACUGUUAGGGCGCAACUGAGUAGUCUAAUGUUGUUCUAGUUUUCUAUCUUCUGACCAUAGACAUCACUUCGUUCCAAAUUUACAUUCUCAGUUCAUAAUAGAACAAUAUAAUUAGCUUUUACUCUUUUUUCGAUUGAUUGAGAAAAAGUACUCGUUGCAAAGUUAUACUGUUAGGGCGCAACUGAGUAAUCUAAUGUUGUUCCGAUUUUCGUUCUUUUCAACGUUGACAUCGAUUCGUUCUAAAUUAACAAUCUCGGGGCAUAAUAGAACACUAUAAUUAGCUUUUGCUCUUUGUUUGAUUGAAGGAGAAAAGGUACUCGUUGCAAAGUUAUACUGUUAGGGCGCAACUGAGUAGUCUAAUGUUGUUCCAGUUUUGGUUCUUGUCAACGUUGACAUCGAUUCGUUCUAAAUUAACAAUCUCGGGGCAUAAUAGAGCAAUAUAAUUAGCUUUUACUCUUUGUUCGAUUGAAUGAGAAAAGGUACUCGUUGCAAAGUUAUACUGUUAGGGCGCAACUGAGUAGUCUAAUGUUGUUCCGGUUUCGGUUCUUUUCAACGUUGACAUCGAUUCUUUCUAAAUUAACAAUCUCGGGGCAUAAU
rnacentral:lncRNA from 1 species